rnacentral:rRNA from 1 species
UACGGAGGAUGCGAGCGUUAUCCGGAUUUAUUGGGUUUAAAGGGUGCGUAGGCGGACGCUUAAGUCAGCGGUAAAAUUGCGGGGCUCAACCUCGUCGAGCCGUUGAAACUGGGUGCCUUGAGUGGGCGAGAAGUACGCGGAAUGCGUGGUGUAGCGGUGAAAUGCAUAGAUAUCACGCAGAACUCCGAUUGCGAAGGCAGCGUACCGGCGCCCAACUGACGCUGAAGCACGAAGGCGUGGGUAUCGAACAG